rnacentral:piRNA from 1 species
UGGGAAAACAGUUGCAAGCCCUCUUGGCUUC